GACCGUCCUUCUCCUUGACUCACCUCCAGCCCGGGAGGGCCAGGAUCAACGGCGGUGGCCAGGGCGCCGCCCGCACCGCCGGGCUGCGCCACCGCCCCGGACUCUUCCGGCGCGGCGAGGUCGCCCUCCUUGGCGCCCCCGGGUGGGGCAGGUCGAGCCCGGUGCGCUAUCCCUUUAAACCCGGGCGAGAUGGGAGCUGUCAGCGACAGCCGAGGCUAGCGCGGGACGUCGCCGCCCGCCAGGCCAGAGCAAGGAGCCGCGGAGCGAGCAGAGAGCGGAGGUGGUGGCGGGGCCGGGGCGCGGCAGGUCCCCUCGCCGCCCACUGAGCUCUCGAACCCGGGGCCCGGCGAGGCGGGCGGAGCCCAGUGUAAUGCGGAGAAUGUGAGAGGCAGCGCAGAGCGGUGGGGAGGAGGGCGCGCGCAAGAGGGCGGCGGCAAGAUAGACGGAGAGACAGCGGGAGCGACAGAGGACAGGGAACAGGGAGCAGGUGGGAGAAAGGAGAGGAGAAAAAAGGAGUGGCAGGGACAGGAAAGGGGGACAGAAGGGAGCGAGAGAACACUAGGCGCGGGCGGCGGCGCAGGCGAGGAGGAGGAGGCCGGCGCCUCUGGGUGGGAGUGCCGGAAGCCAGAGUUGGGCUCCCCGGCCGGGGUUCGGGUUGCGAGCGCUGCCGCGGCCGGGCCGGGCAUGGUGGGGGAGAGGGGACGCCCGAGGGGCCCCCUCUGGGAACGGCGGGGGACCUGAGGCAGGGCCAGCCGGGACAGGGGCGCAGGGCCACUCCACAGGCCCCGCGGGCCGUGCUCCGGAGGCUCCAGCUGGCCGGGGCAAGGGGGCCUUUGUGAGCGCCCCAAGAGUGCGCAGCCGGGCGUGCGGCCGCGGGGAUGUGUGCGCGCCCGGGGGGUGCGCGGGUGUGCGCGAGUGUGAGCGCCCCGGCGGGUGGGAGCGCGCGUUAGGGAUUCUGCUGGCAUCGCAGCGUGGAGAACAGGAGGCAGGAGUGGGGCGCGCAGGGGAGCGCGGGGCCCUCCCGCGCACACGCACACGCCGCGCGCGCGCGCGCACACAUACACAUACACACACGCACACGCCCUCUCUGCCUCGCUCGCUGCCGCUGCCACCAUCUCGGAGCCGAGCCUUGCGGAGCGGGAACCCGAGCCGGAGCGGGAACCAGAGCCGAGCGGAGCCGAAUCGGGGAAUGCGGUCCCGGAACGGAGCGGCGCGCGAAGUGCGCGCCCGGGACGCCUCCUGUGCCCACAGGCCCUGAGGCUCCGGUGCCCACAGGCAAAGAGGGCGACUGAGUCAAACCCAGGCUGACCCCAGCCCAUUUGCAUUCCCCAAACGCCUGCCUGACCUGAGGUCAGGAGGGAGCAGGAGCAUGUGGAUUGAGACCGGGUCCAAGAAACUGUCAAGAGGAGCUGGUACUGGCUCCAACAUGUGGACUUUAAAUGGACCUCCAAGCCAGAGUCCGCGCACAGAUCCAGACACCUUCGGGGCAGGCUGAGGCUCAGUGCCAGUCAUGUGCAUGUGACAAGUACUGGCAGCCAGGUGACCUUGGCUUUGUGUGAGCAGUGUGGGUGGCCACUUGGAUUGUAUCAUGAGGAGCAGGACAUUCAGAAUGUGGGAGGUGAUAGGCCCUCCCACUAUGUCCCAGGUGGGGUAAUAUGGAGAAACUACAGCAAGUGCUGAGGGGGAAGGAAGGAGCUGGGUUGCUGCUUGACCUGACUCCUGGCUUGCUUGUGACCUUGGGCGAGUGACUUCUCCCCUUUAUCUGGGCCAAUCUGCUGCUGUUCUUGACAGGCUUCUGGGACCCAUGAGAAAGCUGCUGAGGGACUUUGCUAAACAGAAGGAAUGCUAGGGGAAGGCUGGGGGCAGCAGGCUGGACUGGACCGUUAUCAUUAUUUUCAGAGGAAGGAGAUCCAGAGGCUCUGUAGGGCAGUGGGCCUCGAACCCCUUCUCCCGAAGGAUUAGGUGAAAGUCGUGGUGUGGCUGAGGCUCAGCCAACACUGUCCUCCCACCCAGGAAGCUGGUGAGGUGUGGCAGGAAGUGGACAGCUGGAUUUCCUUCCAGAAACUAGGCCUUGCUUUGAAGUCCAGUUGUCUCUAUCAAGAGAUUCUUGCUAAUCAGUCAGUUCUGAGUGGAAUGAGCAGCUAAUCAGCCCCUCUGGUUUAACCUGUAAUUGCUGCUGGGAGAUGGGGAGAAGGAUGUGGUCAGGGUUCUCCGCAGGGCUACCAAGGGCGAUGGGAGGGGUAUGGGCAGGGGUGGCAGAGAGGCCGGGCUUUGCCCCUAGCCUCGUCAGGGGCCACAGUAUCCUUCUUGCUGCCCAGGGGGACGGCACCGGGCACCAGGAAGCUCAGCGGGCAGAGAUACACUGAGAAAUGAAUGCAAGGAGGAGGAGGGGAGGUCUGGGCUGAGCCUUGAAGGCUAACGGGUUCUUUUAAAAUGUUCUAUUUUCCUGAUUAUUAAAAACAAAACAAAACAACACAACAGCACGUUCUCUAUAGAAAAUGUGAGUAUUUGGGUGUUUUGCCUGUCAGUCUUUUACCAAAUAUGUAUUUGUGACAUAAAUGGGAUCAGACUGUACUUACUGUUUUCUAACCUGCCUUUUGUACUUAAUACUAUACCAAGCUCAUUUUCCCAUCAUGAAAUACUCUCUGUAAUGUGAUUUUUAAUGGCAGCGUAAUGUUCCAGCCUGUGUGUGGUAUCUCUUGUGUAACAGUUCUAUUACAUAUUUUGAUUGUUUCCAAUGUGUUUCAUUAUAAGUAGUGCCUGCAUGAACAGGAUGAUGUAUGUAGAGUUAUGAUG